rnacentral:rRNA from 1 species
AUUGAACGCUGGCGGCAUGCCUUACACAUGCAAGUCGAACGGUAACAGGCCGCAAGGUGCUGACGAGUGGCGAACGGGUGAGUAAUGCAUCGGAACGUGCCCAGUCGUGGGGGAUAACUGCUCGAAAGAGCAGCUAAUACCGCAUACGACCUGAGGGUGAAAGCGGGGGACCGUAAGGCCUCGCGCGAUUGGAGCGGCCGAUGUCAGAUUAGCUAGUUGGUGGGGUAAAGGCCUACCAAGGCAACGAUCUGUAGUUGGUCUGAGAGGACGACCAGCCACACUGGGACUGAGACACGGCCCAGACUCCUACGGGAGGCAGCAGUGGGGAAUUUUGGACAAUGGGCGCAAGCCUGAUCCAGCAAUGCCGCGUGCAGGAAGAAGGCCUUCGGGUUGUAAACUGCUUUUGUCAGGGAAGAAAUCUUCUGGGCUAAUACCCCGGGAGGAUGACGGUACCUGAAGAAUAAGCACCGGCUAACUACGUGCCAGCAGCCGCCGCAGUAA